rnacentral:lncRNA from 1 species
UAUUUGAUCAAAAAAAAUACUAAAAAAGUUUUCUUCUGAAAUUUUUCAAAGAGGAUAUAUACCUAUGACAGUUGAGUUAAACAGCCCAAGCCCAAGCAGCCAACCGUAACUCGACUACUUUUCUUUAAAAGACUAUUGAGCCUUAUAUAGAGCAAGCUUCUAUUUUGUUUUUAAGGCCGUAUUUAAUAUGAGUUAAAGCCCAUUAUAUUUAACAAUCUAUAUUAAAUAAAAUACUACUCACCGUCAACGUAGCCGUAACGGUCCAUAUUUAUGGUUCAUGUUGAUGACCUAGCACACC